UUUUGCUACCCUUAGUAGGGUUGCUGGGAGAAGGAUGUAAUGAUGACUGUAUGUAAUUAGAUCAUUGUGUUCUUAAAACACAGCUAUGAAUUCUCUCACACAGCUCCCAUCCGUACUUGAGUGUAUGGCCCUCCUCUUCAGACUUGGACAAGACUUUGUGAUGAUCUGGGUGGGGAGAAUGCAGCAAAGGGAUACAGAGUGGCGUUCAAGCCAAGAAUGGAAAAGAUCAUGCAGCUUUUGCCUGCCUUCUCUUGGGAUCCUGAGAAUCACCAUAUGCCAAGGAAAAAGCCUAACUUAUGCAAAUUCACUAUUUGGAGAGACCCCAAAGGAUAAAGGGAGAGAGAGAUGUCUGAGCUCCUGUUGGUCCUUUUGAGACUUCUAGCUGAGGUACCACCAUCUGAGGAGCAGAUGCUGGAAUGCUGUGACCCUGAGAAGUGACUGCACCCUGCCAGGCCUGACAGCUGCCUCCCCAGAUGACACAUUUACCCCUCCUCCAAGCGCAAGUGUGCUGGCAUGGAACUGCAUCGGACCUGAACCCACGUGCAUGGGAGCAGCUAGAAGGCCAGGAGUUUGCCAGAAGCCAGCUGAAACAAGAGCCUGUGAAACAAAGUGAGACACAGCAGAGCAGAGACGGGGA